rnacentral:tRNA from 1 species
ACAGAAAUAGCUCAGUGGUAGAGUGCAUGCUUAGUGUGCAAGAGGUCCUAGGUUCAAUCCCCAGUAUCUCCA